rnacentral:rRNA from 1 species
AGCAGCCGCGGUAAUUCCAGCUCCAAUAGCGUAUAUUAAAGUUGUUGCAGUUAAAAAGCUCGUAGUUGAAUUUCGGGGUCAGUAGGUUGGUCAUGCCACUGGUAUGUACUGGUCUCACUGAUUCCUCCUUCCUGAUGAACUGUAAUGCCAUUAAUUUGGUGUUGCAGGGAAUCUGGACUGUUACUUUGAAAAAAUUAGAGUGUUUAAAGCAGGCUAACGCCUGAAUACAUUAGCAUGGAAUAAUGAAAUAGGACGUUCGAUCCUAUUUUGUUGGUUUCUAGGGUUGACGUAAUGAUUAAUAGGGAUAGUUGGGGGCAUUAGUAUUCAAUUGUCAGAGGUGAAAUUCUUGGAUUUAUUGAAGACUAACUACUGCGAAAGCAUUUGCCAAGGAUGUUUUCAUUAAUCAAGAACGAAAGUUAGGGGAUCGAAGACGAUCAGAUACCGUCGUAGUCUUAACCGUAAACUAUGCCGACUAGGGAUCGGAUGAUGUUAAUUUUUAAUGACUCAUUCGGCGCCUUAA